CUCCCCCUUUUCCUCCUCCGAGUCAAGAGUAGCCGGGCUCAUCGAGUCAGCAGCCGUUGGGCGUUACUUCCACAUACAAGCAGCUAAGAAAGGAAAUGCAGAUGAGGCUCCUGCAGCCAUUCACAGGCUCCAGGUCUCUGCUGCUGCUGCUGCUGGACGAGUCCCAGACAAACUCUCCGGCUCUUUGUUGGUGGAUCUCCGCUCAUUUCCUCCACGUUCACCUCGCUCACACGCUCAGGGAAUCAGUACGAUGUCAUCUGAUGAAGAAGAGGACAGAGGAAGACCUUGUCCUGCAGCUUCAGACACGUUGAUCAGAGACACAGCUUGUUGUGUCCAUGCCAUCAUCAUCCAGAUGUUUCAGACCUUCACGUCAGAUAAACACCAGAGGUUUUCCCUCCUUUGUAAAACAUGUUUCUUUCCGGCUAUAAAAUAAAAGCACGACCUGAAGAGUCA